GACCGCGUAGCUCAGUUGGAAGAGCAUUGGGCUAGUAUUCCAAAGGUCGUGGGUUCGAAUCCCACUGUGGCCG
rnacentral:tRNA from 1 species